AUUAUUAAAGGGCCGCGGUAUUCCUGACCGUGCGAAGGUAGCAUAAUCAUUAGUCUUUUAAUUGAAGGCUUGUAUGAAAGGUUGGACGAAAAAUGGACUGUUUCAAAUAAAAAGAUUGAAUUUAACUUUUAAGUGAAAAGGCUUAAAUAAAUUAAAAAGACGAUAAGACCCUAUAAAUCUUUACAUUUGUUAUUAUAGGUUUUGGAUUGUGUGUGUAAAAAAAAAUAUAAUAAAAAUGUUGUGUUGGGGCAACAGUGAUAUAGUAAUAUUAAUUGUUAAAAAUAAAAACAAAUAUAUUUGUUAAAUAAAGAUCCUUUUUAAAGAUUUAAAGAUUAAGUUACUUUAGGGA
rnacentral:rRNA from 1 species